GGAGUUAGCCGGUGCUUCUUCUGUGAGUGAUGUCCUUCCUGCCGGCUAUUAACCCGCAGGCCUUCUUCCUCACUGAAAGUGCUUUACAACCCGAAGGCCUUCUUCACACACGCGGCAUGGCUGGAUCAGGGUUGCCCCCAUUGUCCAAUAUUCCCCACUGCUGCCUCCCGUAGGAGUCUGGGCCGUGUCUCAGUCCCAGUGUGGCUGAUCAUCCUCUCAGACCAGCUACGGAUCGUCGCCUUGGUGAGCCGUUACCUCACCAACCAGCUAAUCCGACAUAGGCUCAUCCGAUAGCGCGAGGCCCGAAGGUCCCCCGCUUUCCCCCGUAGGGCGUAUGCGGUAUUAGCCUGGGUUUCCCCAGGUUAUCCCCCACUACCGGGCAGAUUCCUAUGCAUUACUCACCCGUCCGCCGCUCGCCACCAGGGAGCAAGCUCCCCGUGCUGCCGCUCGACUUGCAUGUGUUAGGCCUGCCGCCAGCGUUCAUCUGAGCCAUAACUCAAACUCUGA
rnacentral:rRNA from 1 species